UUUCGGUUCUUUAUUUUCAAAUGUACAAAUGUCCAUUUAAUUUUACUUCAGUUUUAUUUUCAAUAUUUUCUGUUCUUUGACCAUACACUUUUUCUUCAUUUUUUUUUUCAUUAAUAAGGCCGUUAGUUUUCUCAUUGAAUUGUUUUACAUUUGUCAUUUCGGGGCCUUUUAUAGCUGACUAUGUGAUAUGGGCUUUGCUCGUUGUUGAAGGCUGUAUGGUGACCUAUAGUUGUUAAUUUCUGUGUCAUUUGGUCUCUUGUGGAGAGUUGUCUCAUUGACAAUUAUACCACAUCUUCUUUCUCAUACUUAUUUAAAAUAGUAAUACAUUUUUGUACACUUACCAAAAUUUUGCCAUAUCAAUCUGUUUCUUUCUAUUUUUAAGUAACUGAUAUUCUUGAAAUCUUAUGUACAAUGGAUCAUUGAUAUAGGUCAACUUUGUCUCCAGGUCCGGUUUUUCAAUUUUUUUGUUUACUGGUUGAAUAACAGGUGUCAACUGUACGGUCUGUUUCUGAAGACGAACUCAGAGCAAAGCAGCAGGAUCACUUGCACAUAUUAAACAAUAGCGUGAAAUAUGCACAGAUUCCUUUUUCUUUUGUCGAUUUUGUUCUCUCUUCUUUCUUUUGUAUUUUCGCUUUGGAUUUCAGGAAGGUCUACCCAUAUAAUUGCUGUAAAUAGAAUAAUAUAAUUGUUUAAGUAUAUAUAACCCUUAAAUUGUAACUGCUUCAAAUUUUCUUAAUGUACCCAACACCUGGAGACUUUAUUAUAGUUUAUAUAGCAACUGUUAGAAUUAGGAAAAUAGAU
rnacentral:lncRNA from 1 species